rnacentral:rRNA from 1 species
GACGAACGCUGGCGGCGUGCCUAAUACAUGCAAGUCGAACGCAUUUUCUUUCACCGUAGCUUGCUACACCGAAAGAAAAUGAGUGGCGAACGGGUGAGUAACACGUGGGUAACCUGCCCAUCAGCGGGGGAUAACACUUGGAAACAGGUGCUAAUACCGCAUAAUUCCAUUUACUGCAUGGUAGAUGGAUGAAAGGCGCUUUUGCGUCACUGAUGGAUGGACCCGCGGUGCAUUAGCUAGUUGGUGGGGUAACGGCCUACCAAGGCUGCGAUGCAUAGCCGACCUGAGAGGGUGAUCGGCCACACUGGGACGGAGACACGGCCCAGACUCCUACGGGAGGCAGCAGUAGGGAAUCUUCGGCAAUGGACGCAAGUCUGACCGAGCAACGCCGCGUGAGUGAAGAAGGUUGUCGGAUCGUAAAACUCUGUUGUUAGAAAAGAACAAGGAUGAGAGUGGAAAGUUCAUCCCUUGACGGUAUCUAACCAGAAAGCCACGGCUAACUACGUG